rnacentral:misc_RNA from 1 species
UAUAUAAAUCGAUAUUGUUGCUUCGGUGACAUUUUUCGGAAUUUGGGUUGUCUUAACCUUUUAGGUUAAGAGGCCUGAAAUUGAUUUUUUAAGCGCAUCCUGAACGUGUGUAAUUCAUUUAUUCGUUUUCGAUGCCAAACUCUAUUAGGUAUGGUCAUGUCGUGUGGUUCCGUACCUAUAAUUCAUCAUA